rnacentral:rRNA from 1 species
GACAGAGGGUGCAAACGUUGUUCGGAAUUACUGGGCGUAAAGCGCGUGUAGGCGGCUAAGUAAGUCGGGCGUGAAAUCCCACGGCUCAACCGUGGAAGUGCACUCGAAACUGCAUAGCUAGAGUCCUGGAGAGGAAGGUGGAAUGCUUGGUGUAGAGGUGAAAUUCGUAGAUAUCAAGCGGAACACCAGUGGCGAAGGCGGCUCACUGGUCCGGUACUGACGCUGAGGUGCGAAAGCGUGGGGAGCAAACAGG